rnacentral:rRNA from 1 species
AUGGCCGCCGACCCUAGCUCCGACCUCGCCAACGGGGCCCCGGCCCCCGCCCCCGCCGCCGACAAGAAGAAGUCGCGCGAGAGCGAGCGCCGCCGCCGCCGCCGGAAGCAGAAGAAGAGCAAGGCGCCCGCUUCCGACGCCGCCGCCUCCGACGCCGACGCCGAUGCGGGCGAGGAGGACAAGCCCGACUCCAAGCCCCCGGUGGAGAUCGAGGUGGAGUACGUGCCGGAGGAGCCGGACCUCGCCGACGGCCUGCUCGCCGACUUCAAGAGCAUCUUCGACAAGUUCACCUUCAAGGAGCCCGUCGCCGCCGAGGAUGGGGAGAAGAAGGACGAGGCCGCCGACGCGGCAAAGAAGGGGUCGGGGUCCGACUCGGACGACGACGAGCAGGAGACCCAGCAGAAGAAGAAGGAAGGGGGCAUCUCCAACAAGAAGAAAAAGCUGGAGCAAAGGAUGAAGAUCGCGGAGCUGAAGCAGAUAUGCAACAGGCCCGACGUCGUCGAAGUUUGGGACGCGACUGCAUCAGACCCCAAGUUACUUGUCUAUCUGAAGUCUUACAGGAACACAGUACCUGUCCCAAGGCACUGGUCUCAAAAGAGGAAAUUCUUGCAGGGUAAGAGAGGUAUCGAAAAACAACCUUUCCAACUUCCUGACUUCAUUGCUGCAACUGGAAUAGAAAAAAUUAGACAGGCAUAUAUCGAGAAAGAGGAUAGCAAAAAGUUGAAGCAGAAGCAGCGGGAGCGUAUGCAGCCAAAAAUGGGCAAGAUGGAUAUAGAUUAUCAGGUUUUACACGACGCCUUCUUCAAAUAUCAAACAAAACCAAAAUUGACUAGUCAUGGUGACCUUUACUAUGAAGGAAAAGAGUUUGAGGUCAAACUCAGGGAAAUGAAGCCAGGUAUGCUGUCCCGAGAACUUAAAGAAGCUCUUGGUAUGCCAGAAGGUGCACCGCCUCCAUGGCUUAUAAACAUGCAGAGAUAUGGUCCUCCGCCCUCUUAUCCUUCACUGAAGAUUCCUGGUCUGAAUGCCCCAAUUCCUCCUGGUGCUACUUUUGGUUACCGGCCCGGGGAAUGGGGAAAGCCUCCUGUGGAUGAGCAUGGACGCCCCCUCUACGGAGAUGUUUUUGGUAUCCUACAGCUGGAUGAACCUAAUUAUGAUGAGGAGCCUGUUGACCGCAGCAAGCAUUGGGGAGACUUGGAGGAGGAAGAGGAGGAGGAGGAAGAUGAUGAGGAGGAAGAGGAGGAGGAACUAAUGGAAGAUGAAGACAUGGAAGCUGGCAUGCAGUCUGUCGACACCAUGUCAAGCACUCCCACUGGCGUGGAAACACCUGACGUCAUUGAUCUUCGGAAGCAACAGAGGAAAGAGUCUGAAAGGCCAACAGAUAAGCAGUUAUACCAGGUUCUUGAGCAGAAGGAGGAGAAAAUCGCACCUGGAACCCUGUAUGGGUCAAGCCAUACGUAUGUGGUUGGGGCACAGGAUAAGGCUGGGGUUAAAAGGGUUGAUCUUCUCAAGAAUCAAAAGUCCGACAAAGUGGACGUCACCAUACAUCCCGAGGAGCUCGAGGUUAUGGACGAUGUCCUGGCAGCCAAGUAUGAAGAAGCCCGGGAGGAGGAGAAGCUCCGGAACCAGAAGGAAGACUUCAGCGACAUGGUGGCGGAGAACGCGAGCAAGAGGAAGAGGAAGCACGAGAAGGACGGGAAAUCUUCCAAAAAGAAGGACUUCAAGUUCUAG